rnacentral:sRNA from 1 species
UUGACAGCUUCGGACAAUGAAGCACUCUGUUUAUCCACAGGACAGGGACAGCACAGCCCUGUGUGAGUGUCCCUACAGUGGCCCACCAUUGUGUCUCAAUCCCGAACGUGGGCAGGCCACCUCUUGGGGUAAGCAGUUAGCUUAGGCCCAUAUCCUACAAAAGUCUAU